UACGAAGGGGGCUAGCGUUGCUCGGAAUCACUGGGCGUAAAGCGCACGUAGGCGGAUUGCUAAGUCAGGGGUGAAAUCCUGGAGCUCAACUCCAGAACUGCCUUUGAUACUGGCGACCUUGAGUCCGGGAGAGGUGAGUGGAACUGCGAGUGUAGAGGUGAAAUUCGUAGAUAUUCGCAAGAACACCAGUGGCGAAGGCGGCUCACUGGCCCGGUACUGACGCUGAGGUGCGAAAGCGUUGGGGAGCAAACAGGG
rnacentral:rRNA from 1 species